CCUACGGGUGGCAGCAGUUAGGAAUCUUCCACAAUGGGCGAAAGCCUGAUGGAGCGACGCCGCGUGAGGGAUGAAGGUCCUCGGAUCGUAAACCUCUGAAUCGACGACGAAAGACGCGUAAGCGGGAUGACGGUAGUCGAGUAAUAGCACCGGCUAACUCCGUGCCAGCAGCCGCGGUAAUACGGAGGGUGCAAGCGUUACCCGGAAUCACUGGGCGUAAAGGGCGUGUAGGCGGCGUGUUAAGUCUGACUUUAAAGACCGGGGCUCAACCUCGG
rnacentral:rRNA from 1 species